UACAGAGGGGGCAAGCGUUGUUCGGAAUUACUGGGCGUAAAGGGCGCGUAGGCGGCCGGUUAAGUCGAAGGUGAAAUCCCCGGGCUCAACCCGGGAACUGCGUCCGAUACUGGCAGGCUUGAAUCCGGGAGAGGGAUGCGGAACUCCAGGUGUAGCGGUGAAAUGCGUAGAUAUCUGGAGGAACACCGGUGGCGAAGGCGGCAUCCUGGACCGGCAUUGACGCUGAGGCGCGAAAGCCAGGGGAGCAAACGGG
rnacentral:rRNA from 1 species